AAACAUGGAGGUCAAAUUAGAUUUCAAGUCUUUGGUAAAGAAGCUCAGUUUCGUUUCUGUCAAUAAGCGCGGAGGUGGCGGAGGAGGUCACAGCGGUGGUGGAGGUCAUUUUGGCGGAGGAGGAGGCCAUUUUGGCGGAGGAGGAGGUCAUGCUGGCGGAGAAGGAGGUCAUAUAGGCGGAGGAGGAGGUCGCGGCGGCAGAGGAGGUGGUCACGCUCACGCAGGUGGAGGCACUGAUUUUAUUCCGGUGUAUGUAGGUACUCAUCAUCAUCACCAUACUCAUGUUCACAACAAUGGUAGCAACGACGGCGUCCUCCUCAAGCAUUCUGUUCUCCGAUUAGCUUCCAGUGUGUCAGGUUUUGUGGUUCAUUUGUGUUUCCUUUAGGAUUCUGAUCAUAUAUAGAUGCAUAUGAUUACGUAUUGUAGAUAACUGUAUAUGAUUGUAGACAACCGUAUAUGAUAAUCAGUUUGUGAAUAAGAAUCUACAAUCUUGAUCGAUCGAGACAUAAUUCUGGAUUUAUAUCUUGAAUCUGUUUAUGUGAUUUUCAACCAAUGAUUGAGUAGACUACUUUUAUUUAUCGCCAUUAUCAUGUCAAUGAUCC
rnacentral:lncRNA from 1 species